rnacentral:misc_RNA from 1 species
AUUUCGUCUUCAGAGAUGAUUUUUAAUCAACUUGUCCAAUUAAGUAAAUAAAUUAUAUCACAUAAAAUGUGAAUAAAUAUUAUUAAAUAUUUAAUUAAAAAUGAAUAGAAAGAAGAACAAAAAAAAAGGAAAUAAAUGGAUUUAUUGCAUAUGAAUGAUGUCAUUAAAAGGGCUCCACCAAUAAAAAAAGAGUUAAAUGGGGUAACAAUCAAAAGAAAAAUCUGCUAUCUUCUCUCUUCCUUCUUCAGCCGAAUUCCUCUCUCUCUCUUAUCUCCAUUGAUGACUUUCCUUCUUUCUAAAUUUUCUUUAUAAACACCCCCUAAAAUCACUUGCUCCUUUCACUGAAACUCCUCCUUCAAACUAGAGCAAGCUUGAGGCAGCAAAAAGAAAGAAAAAUCAAGAAGUUUUGUAAGUUAGAGAAACUCUCCAACAAAGGUUAGUGUCAAUUAAUCAUUUAAACUUUGUAUAUGCAUCAUUGGGAGUAUGAAUUGAUCCAUUGAUUGUAUGUAUUUGAAGAAUUGAAAUGUUAGAGUUAGGGUUUGGGCACAGAUUUGAGAUUUUGCUCAUAUAUUAGUGAAAGGAAGUUCUAAUGGUCAAUUAGUGACCGUUUGGCUAUGUGUGAUUAGGAAAUGAAGUAAUUUGUGCUGCCUAGUGUGACCUGCAGGACUGGGUAUGAGUCCAGCAGAUUUGGGCAGCUAUAACUGGAGUUGUAUAGGUUCAAUUGGUGCAGGGCCAAUUGGACAUGAAAAUAGAUAUAUAAUAGCACAACUUUGAUGGAGGAAUCCUAUCCAGAAAACCACAAUAAACUGACCUAAAAAUUGAUCAAAUCCAGGUACCAUUCAUUCUGUUUGGGCAAAAUGACCAAAUGAACAG